GUUGUGGCUCAGUGGUAGAGCGCUCGCCUAGCACACUCAAGGUCCUGAGUUUGAUCCUCAACAUCACA
rnacentral:tRNA from 1 species